AAGCUAUUCUUGUCAAUAUUUUUGGUGGGAUCGUCAACUGUGCCAUCAUUGCCAAUGGAAUCACCAGAGCCUGCCGGGAGCUAGAGCUCAAGGUGCCACUGGUAGUCCGUCUUGAAGGAACUAAUGUCCAGGAGGCUCAGAAUAUCCUCAAAAGCAGCGGACUCCCCAUUACGUCAGCUGUGGACCUGGAGGAUGCAGCCAAGAAAGCUGUUGCCAGUGUGGCCAAGAAGUGAUGGCUCCCAUGAGGAAGGGCACAUCCCUCACCACUGUGAGAGCUAUUGUUUCCUCACUGGGAAGAGGGCACGCACAAGGAUCAUCACGUGAAAAAAUAUGAAGUCUGAGCUUUCUCCACUAUGCUGUCCAGAGUGCCUAACGCUGAUUUUAUACUGUAGUCAUUGUUUAAAAAAAAUCACUCCUGACAAUUUCACACCUUCUCUUGCCCAGUCAGUAGCAGGGUCUACCAGCUCUGGCCACAGUCAUUGUGGCCAAACAGUGUGCAUAGGUACAGGAUUUGAAGCCAGAUCUAGGUUCAUCCUUAAGAACUUUGGGGACAUUUUUUCUACAGUAGACAAUUUUAUAGGACUCACAAGUUCAGACAGGAUUAUAUUUAACAUAGUAACUUCCAGAAAGUUAUAGCGAAGACACCUGAGCUUCUGUGAACAGUGGUCCCCACUGUCUCCUAAUCCAGUGCAUUUAGAAAGCCCACGACCAUUCUAAAGUGUGGCUUAUAUUGGGCAUCCCACGUUAAUACAUGUACAUUGCACACACUUUACCCUUUGCCUUAAUGUUGAGUCUACUGUCUGCCUCACACUGAGUUACAGCCAGAAGCCUUAAUCACAGGUUUGAAGUGGAAGGUUUCAUUUUUUGUCAGAGUUGCUGAAUGUGAUUUUUAUCAAACUGUGCCAUUAAGCCAUUUCAUGAAGAGGAGGUCAAGCUGGUGGUGGUGGUCAGGAUUUCCCUCUUGUCCCUUCCACCUCACAUCUACCAGUUUGUCACAGAAAGAUGAGAUGUCAUCGGAGAGAAUGUGGCCUUCCUAAUGAUGUCCUUUUUUGUGACGGGAAUUUUCUUAAACUUGAUUUCUUUGUUUAAUUUUAAUAAAUUUAUAGUCAUAUUCAUUUUAAAUAAAAUUGUUUUUCAGUGCUA